rnacentral:misc_RNA from 1 species
GAAAUGCGAUAAGUAGUGUGAAUUGCAGAAUUCAGUGAAUCAUCGAAUCUUUGAACGCACAUUGCGCCCCUUGGUAUUACAUGGGGCAUGCCUGUUCGAGCGUCAUCUACACCCUCAAGCUCUGCUUGGUGUUGGGCGUCUUUGUCCCGCCUCCGCGCGCGGACUCGCCCCAAAUUCAUUGGCAGCGGUCCUUGCCUCCUCUCGCGCAGCACAUUGCGCUUCUCGAGGUGUUGCGGCCCGCGUCCAGAAAGCAAUCGUUACCGUCUUUGACCUCGGAUCAGGUAGGGAUACCCGCUGAACUUAAGC